GAAACAGAUGCUAAUACCGCAUAAAUCCAACAACCGCAUGGUUCUUGGCUGAAAGAUGGCGUAAGCUAUCUCUUUUGGAUGGACCCGCGGCGUAUUAGCUAGUUGGUGAGGUAACGGCUCACCAAGGCAAUGAUACGUAGCCGAACUGAGAGGUUGAUCGGCCACAUUGGGACUGAGACACGGCCCAAACUCCUACGGGAGGCAGCAGUAGGGAAUCUUCCACAAUGGACGCAAGUCUGAUGGAGCAACGCCGCGUGAGUGAAGAAGGCUUUCGGGUCGUAAAACUCUGUUGUUGGAGAAGAAUGGUCGGCAGAGUAACUGUUGUCGGCGUGACGGUAUCCAACCAGAAAGCCACGGCUAACUACGUGCCAGCAGCCGCGGUAAUACGUAGGUGGCAAGCGUUAUCCGGAUUUAUUGGGCGUAAAGCGAGCGCAGGCGGUUUUUUAAGUCUGAUGUG
rnacentral:rRNA from 2 species